rnacentral:ncRNA from 1 species
ACGGGGGAAUUCCGAAAACCCGCUGAACAGAGUAGGAA